rnacentral:rRNA from 1 species
AAGAUGGGCUCGCGUCUGAUUAGAUAGUUGGUGGGGUAACGGCCUACCAAGUCGACGAUCAGUAGCCGGACUGAGAGGUUGAACGGCCACAUUGGGACUGAGACACGGCCCAGACUCCUACGGGAGGCAGCAGUGGGGGAUAUUGCACAAUGGGGGAAACCCUGAUGCAGCAACGCCGCGUGAGGGAAGAAGGUUUUCGGAUUGUAAACCUCUGUCCCCGGGGAAGAUAAUGACGGUACCCGGGGAGGAAGCUCCGGCUAACUAC